GACGAACGCUGGCGGCGUGCUUAACACAUGCAAGUCGAGCGGUAAGGCCCUUUCGGGGGUACACGAGCGGCGAACGGGUGAGUAACACGUGGGUGACCUGCCCUCAGCUCUGGGAUAAGCCUGGGAAACUGGGCCUAAUACCGGAUAUGACUCCAUGACGCAUGUUGUGGGGUGGAAAGCCUUGUGCGGCUGAGGAUGGGCCCGCGGCCUAUCAGCUUGUUGGUGGGGGAUGGCCUACCAAGGCGACGACGGGUAGCCGGCCUGAGAGGGCGACCGGCCACACUGGGACUGAGACACGGCCCAGACUCCUACGGGAGGCAGCAGUGGGGAAUCUUGCGCAAUGGGCGAAAGCCUGACGCAGCGACGCCGCGUGAGGGAUGACGGCCU
rnacentral:rRNA from 1 species